rnacentral:rRNA from 1 species
GAUGAACGCUGGCGGCGUGCCUAAUACAUGCAAGUCGAACGAGGUGCUUUUGUAGCAAUACGAGAGAAUCCUAGUGGCGAACGGGUGAGUAACGCGUUGGUGACCUGCCCCAAAGUGUGGGAUAACAGUCCGAAAGGAUUGCUAAUACCGCAUGUGGUCAUGAGGUUUAGAAACUGAUGACUAAAGCAGCAAUGCGCUUUGGGAGGGACCUGCGUCCCAUCAGCUAGUUGGUGAGGUAAUGGCUCACCAAGGCGACGACGGGUAGGGGACCUGAGAGGGUGGCCCCCCACAAUGGAACUGAAACACGGUCCAUACACCUACGUGUGGCAGCAGUAGGGAAUAUUACUCAAUGGGCGAAAGCCUGAAGCAGCAACGCCGCGUGCGCGAUGAAGGUCUUCGGAUCGUAAAGCGCUUUUCUGCGAGAUGAGAAAGGACAGUAUCGUAGGAAUAAGUCUCGGCUAGCUACGUGCCAGCCGCCGCGGUAAUAC